ensembl:miRNA
AGGCUGCCCUGGCUCAGUUAUCACAGUGCUGAUGCUGUCCGUUCUAAAGGUACAGUACUGUGAUAACUGAAGGAUGGCAGCCA